rnacentral:rRNA from 1 species
UACGUAGGGGGCAAGCGUUGUCCGGAUUCAUUGGGCGUAAAGAGCGUGUAGGCGGCCAGGUAGGUCGGUUGUGAAAACUGGAGGCUCAACCUUCAGAGGUCGACCGAAACCAUCUGGCUAGAGUCCGGGAGAGGAGAGUGGAAUUCCCAGUGUAGCGGUGAAAUGCGUAGAUAUUGGGAGGAACACCAGUGGCGAAGGCGGCUCACUGGACUGGUACUGACGCUGAUGCGCGAAAGCGUGGGGAGUAAACAGG